AGAGUUUGAUCCUGGCUCAGGACGAACGCUGGCGGCGUGCUUAACACAUGCAAGUCGAACGAGGUCCAUCCUUCGGGAGAAGACCUAGUGGCGAACGGGUGAGUAACACGUGAGCAACCUGCCCCGAAGACUGGGAUAACAGCGGGAAACCGCUGCUAAUACCGGAUGCCCCCAUCGGACCGCAUGGCCUGAUGAGGAAAUGGAUUCCGCUUCGGGAGGGACUCGCGGCCUAUCAGCUUGUUGGUGGGGUAACGGCCCACCAAGGCGACGACGGGUAGCUGGUCUGAGAGGACGAUCAGCCACACUGGGACUGAGACACGGCCCAGACUCCUACGGGAGGCAGCAGUGGGGAAUCUUGCGCAAUGGGCGAAAGCCUGACGCAGCAACGCCGCGUGAGGGAUGAAGGCCUUCGGGUUGUAAACCUCUUUCGAGCAGGGACGAUAAUGACGGUACCUGCAGAAGAAGCUCCGGCCAACUACGUGCCAGCAGCCGCGGUAAUACGUAGGGAGCGAGCGUUGUCCGGAUUCAUUGGGCGUAAAGAGCUCGUAGGCGGCUUGAUAAGUCGGAUGUGAAACCUCCAGGCUCAACCUGGAGUCGCCAUCCGAUACUGUCAUAGCUAGAGUCCGGUAGGGGCCCACGGAACUCCUGGUGUAGCGGUGAAAUGCGCAGAUAUCAGGAAGAACACCGGUGGCGAAGGCGGUGGGCUGGGCCGGCACUGACGCUGAGGAGCGAAAGCGUGGGGAGCGAACGGGAUUAGAUACCCCGGUAGUCC
rnacentral:rRNA from 1 species